rnacentral:misc_RNA from 1 species
CGUAAAGGUGCAUGAGUGGUGUUUGGUUUGUUACGGGUGGUUGGCUCUUUGCUUACGCAACAACUUCCACCUGGCAUACCUCUUCAGUCUUAUGUCAAUGCAUGCAUUGCAUUGAUGCAUGGUGGGUUUCUGUGUUGCAUGCCUAACCGAUGGCAUCAUUUGAAGAACUGACGUCCUUUUUUGUCUUGUGUCGCUCAMGCGAUUUGAGAUAAACCUUGAAGCAUGCUUUGUGUUCCACUCUUUCGAUGUAUACACAUUGAUAUUGUGGCCCAUUGAGUACUGCUCGGUCUCAUGGAUAUAGUAGCUGGAGUGGGCAUGAGAUAUUUAGUAGCUCCUUGGUUGCCCUAUUUUAGCUUUUAUAACACGAUUGUCU